rnacentral:rRNA from 1 species
UACGUAGGGUGCAAGCGUUGUCCGGAAUUAUUGGGCGUAAAGAGCUCGUAGGCGGUUUGUCGCGUCUGCUGUGAAAAUCCAGGGCUUAACCCUGGACCUGCAGUGGGUACGGGCAGACUGGAGUGCGGUAGGGGAGAUCGGAAUUCCUGGUGUAGCGGUGAAAUGCGUAGAUAUCUGGAGGAACACCGGUGGCGAAGGCGGCAUCCUGGACCAAUACUGACGCUGAGGAGCGAAAGCCAGGGGAGCAAACGGG